rnacentral:rRNA from 1 species
UAGGGAAUCUUCCGCAAUGGACGAAAGUCUGACGGGGCAACGCCGCGUGAGUGAAGAAGGAUUUCGGUUCGUAAAACUCUGUUGUUAGGGAAGAAAAAAUGUAUAGUAACUAUAUACAAAAGAGACGGUACCUAACCAGAAAGCCACGGCUAACUACGUGCCAGCAGCCGCGGUAAUACGUAGGUGGCAAGCGUUGUCCGGAAUUAUUGGGCGUAAAGCGCGCGCAGGUGGUUUAGAAAGUCUGAUGUGAAAGCCCACGGCUCAACCGUGGAGGGUCAUUGGAAACUAAUAAACUUGAGUGCAGGAGAGAAAAGUGGAAUUCCUAGUGUAGCGGUGAAAUGCGUAGAGAUUAGGAGGAACACCGGUGGCGAAAGCGGCUUUUUGGCCUGCAACUGACACUGAGGCGCGAAAGCGUGGGGAGCAAACAGG